CCUACGGGAGGCUGCAGUGGGGAAUAUUGCACAAUGGGCGCAAGCCUGAUGCAGCCAUGCCGCGUGUGUGAAGAAGGCCUUCGGGUUGUAAAGCACUUUCAGCGGGGAGGAAGGCGGUGAGGUUAAUAACCUCAUCGAUUGACGUUACCCGCAGAAGAAGCACCGGCUAACUCCGUGCCAGCAGCCCCGGUAAUACGGAGGGUGCAAGCGUUAAUCGGAAUUACUGGGCGUAAAGCGCACGCAGGCGGUCUGUCAAGUCGGAUGUGAAAUCCCCGGGCUCAACCUGGGAACUGCAUUCGAAACUGGCAGGCUAGAGUCUUGUAGAGGGGGGUAGAAUUCCAGGUGUAGCGGUGAAAUGCGUAGAGAUCUGGAGGAAUACCGGUGGCGAAGGCGGCCCCCUGGACAAAGACUGACGCUCAGGUGCGAAAGCGUGGGGAGCAAACAGGAUUAGAUACCCUUGUAGUC
rnacentral:rRNA from 1 species